rnacentral:rRNA from 1 species
AUUGAACGCUGGCGGCAGGACUAACACAUGCAAGUCGAACGAGUGGCGGACGGGUGAGUAAUGUCUGGGAAACUGCCUGAUGGAGGGGGAUAACUACUGGCAACGGUAGCUAAUACCGCAUACCAUCAGAUGGGCCCAGAGGGGCUUAGCUAGUAGGUGGGGUAACGGCUCACCAAGGCGACGAUCCCUAGCUGGUCUGAGAGGAUGAUCAGCCACACUGGGACUGAGACACGGUCCAGACUCCUACGGGAGGCAGCAGUGGGGAAUAUUGCACAAUGGGCGCAAGCCUGAUGCAGCCAUGCCGCGUGUAUGAAGAAGGCCUUCGGGUUGUAAAGUACUUUCAGCGGGGAGGCGUUACCCGCAGAAGAAGCCCCGGCUAACUCCGUGCCAGCAGCCGCGGUAAUUC